rnacentral:misc_RNA from 1 species
AAAUCCAAGAAAAGGGGCUCUGAAUUUUGGCUCCACUUUUGGUAAUUCCACACCAGCAGGAAGCCUUGCAGCUCGGACCUUGAAAGAGACUGGCUUUUUUGGGGCUUUCCAAUUUGAGUAGAAUUCUUGAAAAGCAUAAGCUGCUGAUCUUGAUGAGGAAUGGUUAGAGGUUUAUUUGGAAGGAAAGACGAUGAAAUGAAAGCAGCAGAAGCCAUUGUUUUACUGUUG